UCCGUAGGUGAACCUGCGGAAGGAUCAUUCACACGAGAGAUUCGUUAUCUACCUCUUCACUGUGAACAACGUUCUGUGAUGCUCGGUCGUGAGGUGAAAAUCUCAUGCUUGAGCAUUGCGGGUGAUGGACCAGACUGGGGCUGUCUUCCCUUUCUGCAUCUGUCACCGUGUCUUUCUUCAACGACCGUCUCAAACGGUGAUUUACCAGAUCAGCUUUGCGCUGAAUCUCAACUCACAACUUUCAGCGAUGGAUGCCUCGGUUCGAACAACGAUGAAGGGCGCAGCGAAGUGUGAUAAACAUUGUAAAUUGCAGAAUUCCGCGAACCAACAGAACUUUGAACGCAUACUGCGCUUUCAGGAUAUGCCUGAAAGCAUGCCUACUUCAGAGCUUCUUUAUUUCCAUGCGCUCGGUCUAGGCUCAGCGCGUCUUUGUGCAUUAGCACGCAGCUUCAGCCUGCUGCUGAUGCUCUAAGUGAAUCAGUGCGGACUUUGAGCAAGGAACAGAUUGAGCUCUGCACAGUUGUGUCCCUUGUCUCUCGGCCCGUGCCGUCUCUGUCUGGCGAAAUCUUUCGCCCAAAGCAUGAAGUUAGGUCAGGAAACCCGCUGAAUUUAAGCAUAUCAAUAAGCGGAGGAA
rnacentral:rRNA from 1 species